GAUGAACGCUGGCGGCGUGCCUAACACAUGCAAGUCGAGCGAAGCGCUUAAAUUAGAUUUCUUCGGAAUGACGAUUUUUGUGACUGAGCGGCGGACGGGUGAGUAACGCGUGGGUAACCUGCCUCAUACAGGGGGAUAACAGUUAGAAAUGACUGCUAAUACCGCAUAAGACCCCAGCUUCGCAUGAAGCGGUGGUAAAAACUCCGGUGGUAUGAGAUGGACCCGCGUCUGAUUAGCUAGUUGGUAAGGUAACGGCUUACCAAGGCGACGAUCAGUAGCCGACCUGAGAGGGUGCCCGGCCACAUUGGGACUGAGACACGGCCCAGACUCCUACGGGAGGCAGCAGUGGGGAAUAUUGCACAAUGGGGGAAACCCUGAUGCAGCGACGCCGCGUGAAGGAUGAAGUAUUUCGGUAUGUAAACUUCUAUCAGCAGGGAAGAAAGUGACGGUACCUGACUAAGAAGCCCCGGCUAACUACGUG
rnacentral:rRNA from 1 species